rnacentral:lncRNA from 1 species
GAUUCUUUCCACCAUCUAGGCAGAAGACGAAAUGCGUUUCCUGUAAAAAGAGUGCUUUCUUUCACGGAGGCGCUCCUCCCUGUUUCCCGCUUCUGGCUUACCAUUCCGCGGGACGCGUUCUCCUUUCUCUCUGAUUUCGGAGCUUCGGAGGCCUUCGCUUUCUGCUUCGACCGACGAAGUGUGGCAGCAGCGAAUCGGGGAGUCACAGGAGGAUCUCGGUUUCCCGGUUUCUGUUAGGCGUGGGCCGCUGCGUACUACCGGCAGAGACGAAGGGAACGAAGGCACGGGGUGCUGGGUUGCAGCACUCGACGGUUCUCCCUCUUGACUGUUUUUUACGGUGUAUCUGCUCAACUGCGGAUUUCCGCUGGGAAGAACUAAUGCGUCCUGGUUGGUACUGUUUGUCCUGCUUUCCGUGGAUGCACGUCUCUCCGCAUUUUUCGAGUGCGAACGAGGAGCUCUCCUUAGAAGGGUGUUUGCAGUUGUCUGAUCAAAUUUCCAGAUGGUGAUCAGGACGUCGCCCCCAGCAGUCUCCUUAGACAUGGUCAUGAGAUGUGUCGACGAGAAUGACAUGCGGAAGACAGUGCCUCGUGAGAUGUCCGGUUUUAGUUCUUGUAGACAAACGAAAUGUUUGUUGUGCGAGCCCCAAAUUCUCACACUUCCUUCAGUGUCGAGAGAAGCUAAAAAGUACUCGGCGAGAUCUCUCCAGUUCAUCACGUGGCGAACCUUCUGCACCGGUGCCUCAUGCCCCCGCAAACAGUACACAUUCGCUCCGUCACGAAUGUCCCAGAUUUUUAUCGAUCGACUCCUCUUUACCAACCAGGUGACAAUGUGUCUGCAGAUCUGUUGACACUGUGGCCGCAACAUUAAACCGUUUGCCGAGCACUCGUGACACUCUGUCCCGUCUGGGCCUGCGCAGCAUCGAUUUCCUGCCCAGCAAAAGUCUAUGCCCUCUACUGUGUCGAUCAGCGGC